rnacentral:rRNA from 1 species
AGAGUUUGAUCAUGGCUCAGAACGAACGUUAGCGGCGCGCCUAACACAUGCAAGUCGAACGCGACUGGGGGCAACUCCAGUUGAGUGGCGCACGGGUGAGUAACACGUAGGUAAUCUCCCCCCGAGUGGUGGAUAACCCUCCGAAAGGAGAGCUAAUACAGCAUGAGACCACGGCUUCGAAAGGAGCUGAGGUCAAAGCGGAGGAUCGCAAGACUUCGCGCUUGGGGGAUGAGCCUGCGGCCCAUCAUGGUAGUUGGCGGGGUAAUGGCCCACCAAGCCUUAGACGGGUAGCUGGUCUGAGAGGAUGAUCAGCCACACUGGAACUGAGACACGGUCCAGACUCCUACGGGAGGCAGCAGUGGGGAAUCUUGCGCAAUGGACGAAAGUCUGACGCAGCGACGCCGCGUGGGUGAUGAAGGCCUUCGGGUUGUAAAGCCCUGUGGGGAGGGACGAAUAAGUUCCAGCUAAUACCUGGAGCGAUGACGGUACCUCCUUAGCAAGCACCGGCUAACUCUGUGCCAGCAGCCGCGGUAAGACAGAGGGUGCAAACGUUGUUCGGAAUUACUGGGCGUAAAGCGCGUGUAGGCGGCUAUGCAAGUCGGAUGUGAAAGCCCUCGGCUCAACCGGGGAAGUGCACCCGAAACUGCAAAGCUAGAGUCUCGGAGAGGAUCGUGGAAUUCUCGGUGUAGAGGUGAAAUUCGUAGAUAUCGAGAGGAACACCGGUGGCGAAGGCGGCGAUCUGGACGAUGACUGACGCUGAGACGCGAAAGCGUGGGGAGCAAACAGGAUUAGAUACCCUAGUAGUCC